AUGCACCGGAAAAACAUGAGUGGAGUAGUAUUCAAAAUAGACUUUGAAAAAGCCUAUGACAAGGUCAAAUGGUCUUUCCUCCAACAGGCCCUAAGGAUGAAAGGCUUCUCCGAUAAAUGGUGCAAGUGGAUCCACAAUUUUGUAACUGGAGGUAGUGUGGCCAUCAAAGUCAAUGAUGAUGUCGGCCAUUAUUUUCAGACAAAAAAAGGACUACGACAGGGUGAUGCCAUAUCCCCAAUGUUAUUUAACAUUGUGGCUGACAUGUUGGCUAUUCUGAUUGAGCGCGCCAAGCAGGACGGGCAAAUUACAGGAGUAGUGCCACAUCUAGUGGAUGGUGGUCUCUCUGUUCUGCAAUAUGCCGAUGACACAGUUCUCUUUAUGGAACAUGACCUAGACAAGGCUAGAAACCUGAAACUUCUGCUGUCAGCGUUUGAGCAAAUGUCGGGUCUUAAGAUUAACUUCCAUAAAAGUGAAUUGUUCUGCUUUGGAGAAGCCGUUGAGGCAGCGGCCGAUUAUGCUGACCUUUUUGGUUGUGCACAUGGACAAUUCCCAAUCAAAUAUUUGGGAAUACCAAUUCACUAUCGGCGUCUCACCAUUGCGGAGUGGAAGCAUGUAGAGGAGCGGCUAGAGAAACGCUUGAGCAGCUGGAAAGGCAAGUUGCUCUCGGUUGGAGGACGACUGGUUUUAAUAAACUCUGUCCUCACAAAUAUGGUUCUCUAUAUGCUUUCAUUCUUCCAGCUCCCAAAAGGGGUCUUGCAAAGACUGGAUUAUUUUAGGUCCAGGUUCUUUUGGCAAGGAGAUGGUGAAAAGAAAAAAUAUAGGCUGGCCAAAUGGAGUGUGGUUUGUAGGCCGAAAGACCAGGGCGGCCUCGGUAUUCAUGACCUGCAGGUCAAGAAUGAGGCCCUACUUAGUAAAUGGUUGUUCAAACUUCUUACUGAGGAUGGUGUUUGGCAAACCAUGCUGCGCAAUAAGUAUAUAGGCCAAAAGGCGGUGUCUCAGGUAUAUUGGAAAACUGGAGACUCACACUUUUGGGCCGGCCUAAUGGCGGCAAAGAAACAUCUCUUUCGCUUUGGGUCUUUCGCGAUAAAGGACGGGUCGGAGAUUCGUUUUUGGGAAGACAUCUGGCUAGGCAAUGCUAGCCUCCGAGAACAAUACCCAGCCCUAUACAACAUUGCACGCGAUAAGAAUAAUACUAUUGCGCAAGUGCUCAGCUCAUCCCCGCCAAAUAUUUCGUUUAGGCGGGAUUUGAUUGGCACCCGACUUAUGUCAUGGAAUAAUCUAUUGUCCCGUCUGGAUUCGAUUAUCCUGACACAAGGUCGUGAUGUGUUUCGCUGGAACCUUACUACAUCGGGGUCUUUCACAGUAGACUCUAUGUAUCGUGCACUCUCGCAUUCUGAGGUACCGGUGAGAAAUAACAAAAUAAUUUGGAAAGCGAAGGUACCACUUAAAGUCAAAAUAUUCAUGUGGUAUCUCCGUAGGGGAGUUGUGCUAACAAAAGACAACCUCGCAAGACGCAACUGGUCGGGAAGUAAGAAGUGUUGUUUUUGUACUCACGACGAGACAAUUAAACACCUCUUUUUUCACUGUAAGUUUGCGCGUUCUACGUGGUCAGCCAUCCAAAUAGCGUCAAAUUUGUAUCCACCCACAAGUGUUGCCAAUAUUUUUGGUCAUUGGCUGGACGGUAUUUCAAAUAGGUACAAAACGCUAAUAAGGGUGGGAGCGUAUGCCUUACUAUGGUCGCUUUGGCUAUGUAGAAAUGAUGUUGUUUUUAAUGACAAAACUGUUUUGCCUUUGCAGGUUAUUUUCCGUUGUACGCACUCGCUUCGUACGUGGUGUACGCUACAACGAGCGGAGUACCAACCGUUGUUCAAGGCGGUGUGUACGCUGUUGGAGCAGGUGGCUACGGAGGUUUUUACCCAACAUGGAUGGCAGCAUAAUCUCCGGCUCGGUCCACCAUCUCUUUCGACAUAG
rnacentral:rRNA from 1 species